rnacentral:snRNA from 1 species
GUGCUCACUUCGGCAGCACGUAUACUAGAAUUGGAACAAUACAGAGAAGAUUAGCAUGGCCCCUGUGUGGGGCCAUGACACGUAAAAUAAUUUUUUU